ensembl:lncRNA
AUUUCACUUUAUUUAAAAGAAGCCAAUAUACAGGAUAUAAAGGGCAUGAUAUUUACAACAGUACAGUAAACAGGUUGGUUUCCGGUAGGAUCAGUAGUCUUUCAAUGAGUAUAAACACCCCCCUUCCCCUCGACGCUAGACCCAGCUGGCAGACAAACAGCCACAGUGGGGUGGGAUGGGACAUGGGGAUAGAAAGUCUCCCCAGAUGGGACUAAAAAUCAGGUAGAUGCUAAAAUGUUCACGAAGGGGUCUGGGUGAGCGUGCCUUUGCUUCAUUUCUUUGACAGCCUGGUGGGGGGAACAGUGAGGGGUUUGCCCAAAACUAACACACAGCUCACCCUGAGCCCGAAAUCUUCCACGUGUGGAAAAUUCCCUUCCAGAGAGACUCUGCCUUUACCCCUCCCUGGCCGCCUCCAGACUAACCACUCUAGUUGAAGGCCCUUCUAGAACCACAGCUCAGUGUCCCAAGGUGGGACAGGGUAUAAGGAAGCCCCCAACACCUUAGUUCCUCAUCCAGGGCUCUGGAGGAGCAUUAUCAAGGAUGAUAUCCCAGGCGUUGGCCUGGGGGAAGCACAGCCAGGGCUGGGCCAUGGGCAUCUCAUGGCAUUUCCACUCCUGCUCCAGCUGCCUGACCACCCGGGACCCACAGGAGCCCAGGCCCCAAGGAAGCCGUGCGCUCCCUGAACCAACAGCCACCGCCACCCACACUCUGCUGCUUCUCAACCCUCUCCCAAACGCAGCUGACUGGGAAAUGGGUCUGGGCAGGCCAGGGCUGAAGCAGAGCGUGUCCCCUACCCAGCACCCCUUUCCCCUCCCACCACCCGUCUCCAUUCUGAAUGCCCCAUUGCCCACCCACUCCCACAAGUGCCCAUCCCCUAGGCCUCCAAGGACCAAGGAGCUGGGGGAUCAAGGGACAGGGAAACGGGGUGAGGGGGGCACUCCGCUCUGCUGAAGCCGCUCCUGGGUGUGGGUGAGGAGGCAGUGAGGAUGGGGAAACAGGGUGAGGGGAACUGAUGAUAUUAAAUCCAGCAGCAACAUGCACCUUGUCCACAGAAAAACGCUGGGCUACCACAACUGCCUACCCUAGAUUUAAAAAAAACCUUUCCUUUCAUAAAAAUAGAUGAGAGUCUCUUGCUUUAUAAAUAGAUUACAUUUAGCUUAAGUUACACUUUAUAUUACCCCCUGCCCCACACCCCCUCCCCCAUCCCAAGCCAAAGUGGUUUCAUCUGAGCUACACCAACAGAGCCAAGUCCAAGACAGCUGGGCCUGUCGGAGACCUCUGGACGUGUCACCACAAGAAAACACAAUGUGUUUACUUGCAAAUCAUGUUUUUCCCUGUUAAGAGUCUCAGAGUAGUGUGUGUGUGUGUGUGUGUGUGUGUGUGUGUUCCACAGCCAGGGAGCCAAAAAGAAGCUACACUCCCUGCCCCUCCCCAAUCCUCUCUUUUUUAUAAAACCCCCCAAAAUAGGAGAGUGAGAGAGGGCACACAGGAGAGCCCAUCUGAGAACAAUUCUAAAAUACCAAUGUCAAUAUGACACUGGGCUGAGAAAUAGAAAACCGAAAUAAAGUAUUUACAGCUUUACAAAGGACGGACCAGUUUGUCCCAACUGGACCUGGUGCUGCCCCAGCGAGCGUUGGGGUCUUUCUUGGCAAGCUGUGGGCUCAUGGCGAGGGAACAAGCAGGGCCCACUGGCAACUAACUCAAAAAAGAACUUGGAUGGAGAGGGAGGCAGACAUGUUAAGACCCAGGACCGUACCCAGGAGGCAGGUCACCAACACUCUUGCUGUCCACCCCUCCGCCUGCCCCACGUCCUUGCUCCCCCAGGAGAACAGCUAUUGAAAACCAUCAGGAUGGAUCUUUCUGGCCAGCAUCUGUCUCUGGCUCCCGCCAUUUCCAUACACCCUAGGCAAAUUCGGAGUACCCUAAGCCCCCAAAGACAAACAUCCUAUGUAUCCAAGGGGAAAAGCAAAAAUAAUACUACUGGACACCAGUCACCAUGGUAACCUUCCUUACCCCCAAAUACUUACAUUGUUGCCUUAUUGUCUUAACUCUAAAGACAGGUCACCCUCCCACCACCUUGAGAAACAACCCAGGGCCAGCUUCCACUCUGCCUGCCUGCCCCUGGCAUUGGAUGCCUCCCUCAUCCUGGUCAGAGGAGGGCCAGGGGGCGGUUAGUUUCCCGCCCUCCUGGAAACGGAAAAUCUUUUCAGCAGCUGAGGUCCAAGCCCAACUGGCUCUGGUAACCUUUGGUUAAAAUACAAAUUAAAAAAAAAAAAAAAAACCAACAAUAACAAUCAUGACAAUAAUAACCAGGUAUGUUUGAACCCUGUAACCUUUAGAACAAGGGUUAAUGAGGAGGAGGGGAAGGGGCAGAAUCUCCUCCAAAAAAACCAUCGUCCCUUCACGUACCUAACAAGGGACUGUUUGGUUAAUAAGAGAUGCUAGGAACGGAAGGCUUUCAGCCAGACUUUCACAGAGAACCAGUAGAAGGUUUCCCCCAACAACAACAACAACAACAACAACAACAACAACAAAAAAAAAAAGGAAAAAUUCACAAUAAAGGCCACCAAGUUCUGAUAAAUAAAAAUGACACACAAUCACUAACACUCUCCUCUCUCUCCAUAUUUAUAUAUAU